GCUCAGGACGAACGCUGGCGGCGUGGAUAAGGCAUGGAAGUCGAACGCGAACAGAACAACUAAUUCGUUAGGCGUUCUUAGUAGAGUGGCGAACGGGUGAGUAACGCGUGAACAACAUACCUCUCAGAGGGGAAUAACACAGGGAAACCUGUGCUAAUACCGCAUACAUCAACUUAUUGAUUUUAUAUUGAUAAAAGGUGGGGACCUUCGGGCCUGCCACUGAGAGAUUGGUUCGCGUCCCAUUAGCUUGUUGGUGAGGUAACGGCUCACCAAGGCGACGAUGGGUAGCCGGCCUGAGAGGGCGACCGGCCACACUGGGAUUGAGAUACGGCCCAGACUCCUUCGGGAGGCAGCAGUCGAGAAUCUUCCACAAUGGACGAAAGUCUGAUGGAGCGACGCCGCGUGAGGGAUUAAGGCUUUCUGAGUCGUAAACCUCUGUCAGAAGGGAAGAAUAGUUAGAGUAUUAAUAGUGCUUUAAUAUGACGUUACCUUCAGAGGAAGCUCCGGCUAACUCCGUGCCAGCAGCCGCGGUAAUACGGGGGGAGCAAGCGUUGUCCGGAAUCAUUGGGCGUAAAGGGCACGUAGGUGGUUUUGUAAGUCGAAUGUGAAAUCUCACGGCUCAACCGUGAAACUGCGUUCGAAACUACAUAACUUGAGUUUGGGAGAGGUGUACGGAAUUCCUGGUGUAGCGGUGGAAUGCGUAGAUAUCAGGAAGAACACCAAUGGCGAAGGCAGUACACUGGCCUAUAACUGACACUGAGGUGCGAAAGCGUGGGGAGCAAACAGGAUUAGAUACCCUGGUAGUCCACGCUGUAAACGAUGGAUACUAGGUUUUGGGGGUCUCAACCCCUUCAGAGCCGUAGCUAACGCGUUAAGUAUCCCGCCU
rnacentral:rRNA from 1 species